rnacentral:rRNA from 1 species
UACGAAGGGGGCUAGCGUUGUUCGGAUUUACUGGGCGUAAAGCGCACGUAGGCGGAUCGUUAAGUUAGGGGUGAAAUCCUGGAGCUCAACUCCAGAACUGCCUCUAAUACUGGCGAUCUAGAGUCCGGAAGAGGUGAGUGGAACUCCUAGUGUAGAGGUGGAAUUCGUAGAUAUUAGGAAGAACACCAGUGGCGAGGGCGGCUCACUGGUCCGGUACUGACGCUGAGGUGCGAAAGCGUGGGGAGCAAACAGG